UACGUAGGGUGCAAGCGUUGUCCGGAAUUAUUGGGCGUAAAGAGCUCGUAGGCGGUUUGUCGCGUCUGCUGUGAAAACUGGGGGCUCAACCCCCAGCCUGCAGUGGGUACGGGCAGACUAGAGUGCGGUAGGGGAGAUUGGAAUUCCUGGUGUAGCGGUGGAAUGCGCAGAUAUCAGGAGGAACACCAACGGCGAAGGCAGCACUCUGGGCCGGUACUGACGCUGAGGAGCGAAAGCGUGGGGAGCAAACAGG
rnacentral:rRNA from 1 species